rnacentral:lncRNA from 1 species
CCCUACUCCUCCCUCAUAUCAUAUACGCACACAGACAUCAGCCCCUCCCACAUCUCCCAUCUCAGACACCGUUCCUCCUCAUCCUCCUCCUCCUCCUCCGACUCCGACUCCGACUCCGACCAGUUUUUCGGUGACCUCCUUCUUCUCCUUCGACCAGUUUUUUGUGCUUUUUUAUGCAGUUUUUGUUUUUUUUAUUAUGGAAACUAAUGAUGGUCGACAACAAUGGACGGAUGAGGCUGUUAAAUGCUUAUUAGAAACAUGUCUUGAAGAAAUAGGGAGGAUAGGUAGAAAUGGACAAAGCUUGUGCAGGGAGUCUUGGGUUAUAGUAGGGAAGAAACUCAAGGAACAAUUUCACAUGGAUUUGACUCAAAAGCAAAUUAGAAAUGCUUUU